rnacentral:rRNA from 1 species
UUCCGGUUGAUCCUGCCGGACCUUACUGCUAUCAGGGUGGGACUAAGACAUGCGAGUCGAGCGUCUCUAGCUAUGUUGAGACGCGGCAGACGGCUCAGUAACACGUGGCUAACCUACCCUCAGGACGAGGACAAACCCGGGAAACUGGGGCUAAUACUCGAUAGGUGAGUAUGUCUGGAAUGAUUUCUCACUCAAAGGGCUUUAGAAACAUGCUUCUAAAGUCGCCUGGGGAUGGGGCCGCGUCCGAUCAGGUUGUUGGUGAGGUAAUGGCUCACCAAGCCUAUAACCGGUACGGGCCGUGAGAGCGGUAGCCCGGAGAUGGGUACUGAGACAAGGACCCAGGCCCUACGGGGCGCAGCAGUCGCGAAAACUCCGCAAUGCACGAAAGUGUGACGGGGCUACCCCGAGUGCCAUCCGCUGAGGAUGGCUUUUCUUUGGUGUAACUAGCCGGGGGAAUAAGGAGAGGGCAAGACUGGUGUCAGCCGCCGCGGUAAUACCAGCUCUCCGAGUGGUAGGGAUGAUUAUUGGGCUUAAAGCGUCCGUAGCCGGCUUAGCAAGUCUCCUGUUAAAUUCAGCGACCUAAUCGUUGAGCCGCGGGAGAUACUACUAGGCUAGGAGGCGGGAGAGGUCGACGGUACUUCUGGGGUAGGGGUGAAAUCCUAUAAUCCCGGGAGGACCACCAGUGGCGAAGGCUGUUGACUAGAACGCGCUCGACGGUGAGGGACGAAAGCUGGGGGAGCGAACCGGAUUAGAUACCCGGGUAGUCCCAGCCGUAAACGAUGCGGGCUAGGUGUUGGGGUGGCUACGUGCCACUUCAGUGCCGCAGGGAAGCCAUUAAGCCCGCCGCCUGGGGAGUACGGCCGCAAGGCUGAAACUUAAGGAAUUGGCGGGGGAGCACCACAAGGCGUGAAGCUUGCGGUUCAUUGGAAUCAACGCCGGU